rnacentral:tRNA from 1 species
GGGAAUGUGGCUUAAUGGUAGAGUGCUUGCCUAGCAUGCAUGAAGCCUGGGUCCGAAUCCUCAGUACCA